UGGAUAGGGGAUGUAAGAAUUGAAUUAUCACCCCAUCUGCCGUCUCCUAUUUAUAGCACCAAAUGGGGUACUAACAGAGAAGGCAUGCCUCAUCUAGAAAGGUAUAUCAAGUCCUCGUAUAACUUAUCUGAGAGUCCUUAAACAGAAGGACACUUCAGGGGGUGAUACGUCGAUUCCUGCCUUCUCAUACGUGCACACCC
rnacentral:lncRNA from 1 species